rnacentral:lncRNA from 1 species
CUCUCAGUUCCGGCCUCUGCUAUGGAUUGUCUUAAAUUUUUGACUUCCUUUUCUAGUUUCAUCUUUUUCAGCAGCAUAUCCUGAAACAUCCGGUGGAACCACCGACGCUCGUCCUCCGACUCUCAAAGCCUCCUCCUCAAUACCUCGGACUUCGCCUCGGCGUCCUUGACUACCUGCUGCUCAUGGACCAGCUGAACUUUCAACCGUCGUAAUUCGGCU